rnacentral:rRNA from 1 species
CGUACACUCCUACGGGAGGCAGCAGUGGGGAAUAUUGGACAAUGGGCGCAAGCCUGAUCCAGCCAUGUCGCGUGAGUGAUGAAGGCCCUAGGGUUGUAAAGCUCUUUCACCGGUGAAGAUAAUGACGGUAACCGGAGAAGAAGCCCCGGCUAACUUCGUGCCAGCAGCCGCGGUAAUACGAAGGGGGCUAGCGUUGUUCGGAUUUACUGGGCGUAAAGCGCACGUAGGCGGACUAUUAAGUCAGGGGUGAAAUCCCGGGGCUCAACCCCGGAACUGCCUUUGAUACUGGUAGUCUUGAGUUCGAGAGAGGUGAGUGGAAUUCCGAGUGUAGAGGUGAAAUUCGUAGAUAUUCGGAGGAACACCAGUGGCGAAGGCGGCUCACUGGCUCGAUACUGACGCUGAGGUGCGAAAGCGUGGGGAGCAAACAGGAUUAGAAACCCUAGUAGUCCC